GGAGGUGUAGCUCAGUGGUAGAGUGUGUACCUAGCACGCACAAGGUCCUGGGUUCAGUCCCCACUGCCUUCA
rnacentral:tRNA from 1 species